rnacentral:rRNA from 1 species
GGAGAGAGUUCGGUGUGCCCGAAAGGGAGCCUGGACACAGGUGCUGCAUGGCUGUCGUCAACUCGUGUCGUGAGAUGUUGGGUUAAGUCCCGCAACGAGCGCAACCCUUGUCACUAGUUGCUACGCAAGGGCACUCUAGUGAGACUGCCGGUGACAAACCGGAGGAAGGUGGGGAUGACGUCAAGUCCUCAUGGCCCUUAUGGGUAGGGCUUCACACGUCAUACAAUGGCGCAUACAAAGGGCUGCCAACCCGCGAGGGGGAGCCAAUCCCAGAAAGUGCGUCGUAGUCCGGAUUGCAGUCUGCAACUCGACUGCAUGAAGUCGGAAUCGCUAGUAAUCGCGGAUCAGCAAUGCCGCGGUGAAUACGUUCCCGGGUCUUGUACACACCGCCCGUCACACCAUGGGAGUGGGUUUCACCAGAAGCCGGUUGCCUAACCGCGAGGGAGGCGCCGACCACGGUGAGAUUCAUGACUGGGGUGAAGUCGUAACAAGGUAGCCGU